rnacentral:rRNA from 1 species
UCUACGGGUGGCAGCAGUGGGGAAUAUUGGACAAUGGGCGAAAGCCUGAUCCAGCCAUGCCGCGUGUGUGAAGAAGGCCUUCGGGUUGUAAAGCACUUUCAGUGGGGAAGAAAGCCUUGGGGCUAAUACCCUCGAGGAAGGACAUCACCCACAGAAGAAGCACCGGCUAACUCCGUGCCAGCAGCCGCGGUAAUACGGAGGGUGCGAGCGUUAAUCGGAAUUACUGGGCGGAAAGCGCGCGUAGGCGGUCUGAUAAGCCGGUUGUGAAAGCCCCAGGCUCAACCUGGGAACGGCAUCCGGAACUGUCAGGCUAGAGUGCAGGAGAGGAAGGUAGAAUUCCCGGUGUAGCGGUGACAUGCGUAGAGAUCGGGAGGAAUACCAGUGGCGAAGGCGGCCUUCUGGACUGACACUGACGCUGAGGUGCGAAAGCGUGGGUAGCAAACAGGAUUAGAUACCCGAGUAGUC